AAAAGUAGGUAGGCCUUGCAAUUUGGUAAUAAAAUCUAUGUUCCUUUUACAAAUCUAUUGAAACAAAUUAUACAUGUUUUUCAUUACAUGUGAAAAUGAAAGUAAAUCUUCAUAUUUCAACGUAAGCACUGGUGGCGUCAACCAGUUUUCUCAAACGGCUAGGGAUGGAAUGAACAACUUUCUGAAGGACGUCGUCAGAAAUAUCUUUGAGAAACUCUUGAAUCCGUGU